rnacentral:rRNA from 1 species
GAUCCUGGCUCAGAUUGAACGCUGGCGGCAGGCCUAACACAUGCAAGUCGAACGGUAACAGGAAACAGCUUGCUGUUUCGCUGACGAGUGGCGGACGGGUGAGUAAUGUCUGGGAAACUGCCUGAUGGAGGGGGAUAACUACUGGAAACGGUAGCUAAUACCGCAUAAUGUCGCAAGACCAAAGAGGGGGACCCUCGGGCCUCUUGCCAUCGGAUGUGCCCAGAUGGGAUUAGCUUGUUGGUGGGG